rnacentral:rRNA from 1 species
UACGGAGGGUGCAAGCGUUGUCCGGAUUUAUUGGGCUUAAAGGGUGCGUAGGCGGCUCUGUAAGUCAGCGUUGAAAUAUGGCAGCUUAACUGUCAGACUGGCAUUGAUACUGCAGGGCUUGAGUGAAGUCGAGGUUGGCGGAAUUGACGGUGUAGCGGUGAAAUGCAUAGAUAUCGUCAAGAACACCUAUUGCGAAGGCAGCUAACUAGACUUUAACUGACGCUGAGGCACGAAAGCGUGGGGAUCAAACAGG